rnacentral:rRNA from 1 species
GCACAUUCUAGAGCCUAAUUCAUUCUAAUUAACAAUUAAAAUUACAUUCAAAUCCAAAUUAUAAGUUUUAAUGCUAAAACCAUCCUAAAAUAAAUUUAUUGUAAUCCAUCUCUACUUAUAUAAGCUGCACCUUGAUCUGAUUUCUUAUACAUUAAUAUAUUCAAAUUAUAUAUUUCCGAAAAUAAUUAACAACAACGAUAUACAAGCAAAAUAAAAGUUUUAUUAAUCGUGGACUAUCGAUUACAGGACAGAUUCCCCUGAUUGGAAUAGAAAACCGCCAAAUUUUUUGAUUUUAAAGAGCAUAACUUAUAUUUAUCAAGUCUAGUAAUUCUACAUCUAGAAUAAUGGGGUAUCUAAUCCCAGUUUAAUUUCUAGAUUUCUCAACUUCAUAACCAAUAAUUUAAUUAAGUAAAAAAUAGGAUUUCACCCAAUAUUUUAACAAAAUAAAAAAUAAUUUUUAUUAAUUAAGUAUCAAAACUGAAAAAAAAUAGUAGCAUUAUUUGUUUAACCGCA